GGACUGGGGGCACCCGCCUCCGCAACCUCCAAGAUGGAGGCGAAGUGGAGGCCCGCCUUUUCCGGGCCUGCCUUUUAGGACUCUGGCCUCGGGCCGUUGAUUUUUGCAGAUGCUGCCGAGACGGCGGCAGCCCCACUGGAGAGUGAGUGAGUGAGUGAGAGUGAGUGAGUGUGUGUGUGUGUGUGUGUGUGUGUGUGUGUUCUCGCUUCCGUCGGGGCGAGUGCCCAAGUGUGAUCCAGUGUGUGUGUGUGUGUGUGUUCUCGCUUCCGUCGGGGCGAGUGCCCAAGUGUGAUCCAGUGUGUGUGUGUGUGUGUGUGUGUGUGUGUGUGUUCUCGCUUCCGUCGGGGCGAGUGCCCAAGUGUGAUCCAGUGUGUGUGUGUGUGUGUGUGUGUGUGUGUGUGUUCUCGCUUCCGUCGGGGCGAGUGCCCAAGUGUGAUCCCCCGUGGUCCGCCACCCAAAGACACUUUAGUCCAGGGCGUAGGCUCUUGGACGGACAGCCGCUUUGCUUUUUGGAAGUCGCCCGAGUCUUCUUGGGGAAUCGCUAGCAGAGCAAAUCGGGAAUCCGGUCUGCUGGACCGGUCCGACCUCGGAAGCAGGAUAAGAUCUCAGCUCUGGGCUGGAUCUUUCUUUUUGCACCUUCCCUGCUAGUCUGGACCAGAAGAGGAAUCAUUCACUCCGUCUUCUGAGGAGCUCACCACCGACUCCUUCACCUCGCUUCCUGUCACUUCGUCCUGUUUUCUUUCCUUUAUAGAACGUGCCGCUAUGAUAGAUCAGUGUUGAAUGUCUUUCCAGUCUAGUUGCAAAAUCUACCUUUGCACACGGUACCUAAAUUUCAUGCAUGACUAUGUUCUCGGCACUUAGAACUGUGUUUGGCACAAAGUCCAGGAAAAAUGUCUGAAUAGACAGCGAUCUAACGGCACAGGCUCGGCUGUGUUGGGGGCCACACUCGCUAGUUCCCAUUCUUUGGAUUCAAGCCCAUCUCACCACACAAGCCAGUUUUAUUUAAUGGAUGGCUUCCUGUGGCCAGGCAUCAUGCUGGGUAAUGGAGUAAACGUUGCUUAUAAAAUCACUGUCCUGUUUUCAAAGUAGAGAAGAGAAUCUGGGAACCGAGAUAAGGAAGACACACAAACGUCUACAGAGGCCCUCUCCAUGCAGUGGGCACGUGGCUGGGGGAGAAGCCCCGCUCCUCCCCCUGAGACUACUGGCGCUGUCACCAGACUUGACAUCCAGCCUUCAGUGACUCCUCGGUAAGAACCUGGUACUGUGCGUGUCCACCACGUACCUGUGAGCCCAUGUCUGCGUGGAAACCAGAGCUCUGCAUGCAUUCCAGUUCACACCCAUGGGGAGGGAGAGAAGCAACCAAUGCCUUCAGCACACCAAUCUCCACCCAUAAAUCAUGCUGCAGUUUCGCAGUAGAACACCUGCCGUUUCACAGAGUCCCUGUAAGACGGAGUCGUAUUACAAGUGGUUCCUGUGCCAGGCAUUGUGCCGGUUGAAACUUCAUCACAACUGUGUGAGUUGCAGGGAUCCCUAACCUCUGGGAUCCAAAGCCUGAUGAUCUGAGGUGGAGCUGAUGUAAUAACAGAAAUAAAAGUGCACAAUCAAUGUGAUGCACUUUAAUCAUCCAGAAACCAUCCCUCCUACCCCAGUUGGUGGAAAAACUGUCUUCCAUGGAACUGGCCCCUGGUGCCCAGAAGGUUGGGGAUAGCUGAAUUCCUGCACCUAUGAGGAAAGUGAGGCCUAUAAAAGCAUAUUCUCAUGGUGCAGAUAAUGAAACCAGGCCUCACAUGUAAUAUUUACAUCAAGUGGUAAAUAUUCAAGUCGGUGCCAAGAAAUGUGGUAGAGACAGUGGUGGGACAUUAGGACCACCUGGGGAAUCUAAACCCGUUUCGUCAGAAUGAACUGGGAUCAACAAGGCUGAAAGACACAUCAGGAAGAGCUGAGUGACCACACCCAGCCUUUUGAGGAAGACCUGACCCCCCCAUAAGGCUCUCCCAUCCCUCCCUCCGCCUGCUCACCAGUGCCCAGCAGGUCCUCCAGUGGGCUCUUCAUCCUCUGAACCCCAGGACAUCUGCCCGCCAGCCCAUUUCUACUUAGCGAUCUGUUCGUCUGUUAGGAGACUCGUGUGUUCUUUCCUCGAAGAUGCAACUAGAUCUGAGUGAAACACACUGAAUAAAGGAAAGGAAAGCUGAAUACUCUCUAGGAAGUAACUGAUAAGAGAGGCCCAGCCAUUUCAACAUCUUGAUUGUACAACCAGGAGACGGCACUGAUGGAGGCUCUUUGAAGUUCAAACCGACACUGGGGUCCACCUACAAACUGCUAUUACAGUUCUCCUUUUUCUCCACAGCAGAGUGAGAGCUACAGAAAACUCUCCACUGUGAGCCGUGAGCAGUCCUCUUCCCAGGUCUUUCUCUGCUGCUUAGGAGCAGCACCCAGAGGGGCCCCUCGCAUCAGGCUUCUUCUGGAUGCAGAUUCCUUUAGUGCUUUUGGGAUUUACUACUUUCCCUGACAAGAACAGCGACUGGGGCAGUGACUCCUGUUUGGUAACUGAGCUGCUGUAAGUAUGUUUUGAAAAAUAGAUGCCAAAAACUUGCAUGUUAAUGUUCCUAGCAGCAUUAUGAAGAAUAGUCAAUAGGUUGGAAACAACCCAGAUGCCCAUCAGCAGAUGAAAUACAGGAUAUCCAUACAAUGGAAUACUAUCCAACAAUAAAAAAGGGACCAAGUGUGGGUUCAAGCUGCAACAUGGAUGAACUUUGAAGACAUUAAGCUAAGUGAAAGAAGCCAGACAAAAAGGCUGCAAAUUAUAUGAUUCCAUUUGUGGCAAAUGACCAGAACAGGCAGAUCUAUAAAGACAGAAAGUAGAUUUACGGCUGCAAGAGACUGGGAUGGGACAUUGGGGAGAAAGAGGGGUGACUGCUGCUGGAUAUGGGAUUUAUUUUGGGGGUGAUGAAAAUGUUCUCAAAAUCGGUUGUGGUGGUGAUUACCCAACUCUGUGAAUGUGCUAACCACCACUGACUUUUACACCUUGCAUGCAUGCAUGCUCAGUUACUCCAGUCAUGUCUAAUUCUUUGUGACCUCACGGACUGUAACCUGCCGGGCUCCUCUGUCCAUGGAAUUUUCCAGGCAAGAAUAUUGGAGUGGGUUGCCAUGCCAUCCUCCAGGGGAUCUUCCUGACCUAGGGAUCAAACCUGCAAUCUCCUGUACUGGCAGGUGGAUUCUUUACCCAAUAAUCCACCUGGGAAGCCCAACUUCAUACCUUAAAAGAGUGAACUGAAGGGUAUGUGAGUUAAAUCUCAAUGAAGCUGUUUUAAAAAACACUA